rnacentral:rRNA from 1 species
CCUACGGGAGGCAGCAGUGGGGAAUAUUGGGCAAUGGGCGCAAGCCUGACCCAGCAACGCCGCGUGAAGGAAGAAGGCAUUCGGGUUGGAAACUUCCUUUGUCAGGGACGAAGCCAGUGACGGUACCUGACGAAUAAGCCACGGCUAACUACGUGCCAGCAGCCGCGGUAAUACGGAGGUGGCAGGCGUUAUCCGGAUUUACUGGGUGUAAAGGGCGUGUAGGCCGGACUGCAAGUCAGAUGUGAAAACCACGGGCUCAACCCGGGGCCUGCAGUGUGAACUGGCGUGCUUGAGUACGGGGAAAGCAGGCGGAAUUCGUCGUGUAGCGGUGAAAUGCUUAGAUAUGACGAAGAACCCCGAUUGCGAAGGCAGUUUGCUGCAGCGGAACUGACGCUGAGGCGCGAAAGCGCGGGUAUCGAACAGGAUUAGAUACCCUGGUAGUC